ACCCCUUCUAGAAUCUGCCUGCACCAAAGGGCAGCAGAGGACAGCAGUCACAAAAGCCCCAACAGCCCUGUUGUCCAGCAGGCGGUCACAUCUGGGGCCAGUGUGACCUCAUCACCCUUCGACACACAUACCGACUGUCUCCGGGCUCCUACCCGUGAGCCCUCACGACACCGCUUUCUGAAAGCUUCGAUUCUCACAGCUCGGGCCACCUCUGUUGUUUUCCUUCCCCUCGGCGCCUCUGCCUUUCGGCGACAGACCCUUUCAGCCGCCUCUGGAACCAGGAGCCGUGACAGGAGCCCCAUCCCCUCAAUCCUGCGCAUGUGUCAGUCGUCAGUAGCAAGACACGACCCACGUGAAAUGCGUUGUUUGCAUAAACACACACAUUUUAUACACCCCACGGGACAGACACGCACUCAGGAGCCAGCGGCCGAGGGCCCGUCUCAGGGGUUUCCACCCCGGUCCGCAAAGAGCCACUGCAGCUGAUGUCUAAAAUAAGGUUUGUGUGCAAAGGGCAAGGAAUGGACGGGCAAACAGCAUCUCCCAGCCGCCCGGCCGCCCAGAGGCCCCAGGCUGAGCCUGUCUUGCAGCCGUGCUGGGGUGACCAGGGAUGGCUGGGCUGUCCCUCCCUCUGCUCGAUGUGCUGGCUGCUUGUGACAGGCAUCCUUUUAGUUGAAAAUCAUUCAUCGUUUUUUGUUUAUGUGACAGCUUGAUUGGAAUUGCUACUUAGGCCUUCGCGGGACCCAUAAACAGAAAAAGCGAAUCCCUGUGGCCUGGCGGGGGCGGGGGCGGGGGGGGGGGGGGCGGAGACGAGAUCUGAUGUUAAACCCAGGCCAGAAUUCCGUAAAGCCGGGCCCGGAACCAGACAGGAGGCUCCUCUGGUGGCCUAAACCAAUUCACAAAAGCAAGCAAGGAAGGUCCUAAGCCCUAAACCAGAGUAAAAAAUGGUUUUGCCCCAGAACACUUAAAAAAAAAAAAACUUUCCUGGGGCACCUGGGGGGCUCAGUCAGUUAAGCCACCAACUCUUGGUUUCCGCUCAGGUCAUGAUCUCGCGGCUCGUGGGUUCGAGUCCCGUGUCGUGCUCUGUGCUCACAGCUGGGAGCCCGGAGCCUGCUUCAGAUUCUGUGUCUCCCUCUCUCUCUGCCCCUCCCCUGCCCUCUCUCUCUCUCUCUCUCUCUCUCUCAAAAAUAAACAUUAAAAAAAUUUUUAAUUAAAAAAAAGC
rnacentral:lncRNA from 1 species